rnacentral:other from 1 species
GCUUAUCUUGGAUACCGGUGUCUGCGAUCUUGUAUCUUGAGCCGAUAACUUUAAUAGCAGGGUGUUAUGUUCAUGGUCCUUGUUGUGCAAGUCUGCCUUGCGUAGAAAGCCUGAUAGGACCCCAUGCUCACCCACUUGGACCUGUGGGUUCAAGGCAUACAUCGCAUAAACGGUAUUUUUGAUGGCGC